UUAAGCGACUAAGCGUACACGGUGGAUGCCCUGGCAGUCAGAGGCGAUGAAGGACGUGCUAAUCUGCGAAAAGCGCCGGCGAGGUGAUAUGAACCUUUGACCCGGCGAUGUCCGAAUGGGGAAACCCAGUGUGUUUCGACACACUAUCGUUAACUGAAUACAUAGGUUAACGAGGCGAACCGGGGGAACUGAAACAUCUAAGUACCCCGAGGAAAAGAAAUCAACCGAGAUUCCCCCAGUAGCGGCGAGCGAACGGGGAGCAGCCCAGAGUCUGAAUCAGCUUGUGUGUUAGUGGAACGGUCUGGAAAGUCCGGCGAUACAGGGUGACAGCCCCGUACACGAAAAUGCACAGGUUGUGAACUCGAAGAGUAGGGCGGGACACGUGGUAUCCUGUCUGAAUAUGGGGGGACCAUCCUCCAAGGCUAAAUACUCCUGACUGACCGAUAGUGAACCAGUACCGUGAGGGAAAGGCGAAAAGAACCCCGGCGAGGGGAGUGAAAAAGAACCUGAAACCGUGUACGUACAAGCAGUGGGAGCACCUUCGUGGUGUGACUGCGUACCUUUUGUAUAAUGGGUCAGCGACUUAUAUUCUGUAGCAAGGUUAACCGUAUAGGGGAGCCGAAGGGAAACCGAGUCUUAACUGGGCGUUAAGUUGCAGGGUAUAGACCCGAAACCCGGUGAUCUAGCCAUGGGCAGGUUGAAGGUUGGGUAACACUAACUGGAGGACCGAACCGACUAAUGUUGAAAAAUUAGCGGAUGACUUGUGGCUGGGGGUGAAAGGCCAAUCAAACCGGGAGAUAGCUGGUUCUCCCCGAAAGCUAUUUAGGUAGCGCCUCGUGAACUCAUCUUCGGGGGUAGAGCACUGUUUCGGCUAGGGGGCCAUCCCGGCUUACCAACCCGAUGCAAACUACGAAUACCGAAGAAUGUUAUCACGGGAGACACACGGCGGGUGCUAACGUCCGUCGUGAAGAGGGAAACAACCCAGACCGCCAGCUAAGGUCCCAAAGUCAUGGUUAAGUGGGAAACGAUGUGGGAAGGCACAGACAGCCAGGAUGUUGGCUUAGAAGCAGCCAUCAUUUAAAGAAAGCGUAAUAGCUCACUGGUCGAGUCGGCCUGCGCGGAAGAUGUAACGGGGCUAAACCAUGCACCGAAGCUGCGGCAGCGACACUAUGUGUUGUUGGGUAGGGGAGCGUUCUGUAAGCCGUUGAAGGUGUGCUGUGAGGCAUGCUGGAGGUAUCAGAAGUGCGAAUGCUGACAUAAGUAACGAUAAAGCGGGUGAAAAGCCCGCUCGCCGGAAGACCAAGGGUUCCUGUCCAACGUUAAUCGGGGCAGGGUGAGUCGACCCCUAAGGCGAGGCCGAAAGGCGUAGUCGAUGGGAAACAGGUUAAUAUUCCUGUACUUGGUGUUACUGCGAAGGGGGGACGGAGAAGGCUAUGUUAGCCGGGCGACGGUUGUCCCGGUUUAAGCAUGUAGGCGGAGGUUCCAGGUAAAUCCGGUACCUUAUUAACGCUGAGGUGUGAUGACGAGGCACUACGGUGCUGAAGUAACAAAUGCCCUGCUUCCAGGAAAAGCCUCUAAGCAUCAGGUAACAUCAAAUCGUACCCCAAACCGACACAGGUGGUCAGGUAGAGAAUACCAAGGCGCUUGAGAGAACUCGGGUGAAGGAACUAGGCAAAAUGGUGCCGUAACUUCGGGAGAAGGCACGCUGAUAUGUAGGUGAAGCCCCUGCGGGUGGAGCUGAAAUCAGUCGAAGAUACCAGCUGGCUGCAACUGUUUAUUAAAAACACAGCACUGUGCAAACACGAAAGUGGACGUAUACGGUGUGACGCCUGCCCGGUGCCGGAAGGUUAAUUGAUGGGGUUAGCGGCAACGCGAAGCUCUUGAUCGAAGCCCCGGUAAACGGCGGCCGUAACUAUAACGGUCCUAAGGUAGCGAAAUUCCUUGUCGGGUAAGUUCCGACCUGCACGAAUGGCGUAAUGAUGGCCAGGCUGUCUCCACCCGAGACUCAGUGAAAUUGAACUCGCUGUGAAGAUGCAGUGUACCCGCGGCAAGACGGAAAGACCCCGUGAACCUUUACUAUAGCUUGACACUGAACACUGGUCCUUGAUGUGUAGGAUAGGUGGGAGGCUUUGAAGCGUGGACGCCAGUCUGCGUGGAGCCGACCUUGAAAUACCACCCUUUAAUGGCUGGUGUUCUAACGUGGACCCGUAAUCCGGGUUGCGGACAGUGUCUGGUGGGUAGUUUGACUGGGGCGGUCUCCUCCCAAAGAGUAACGGAGGAGCACGAAGGUUAGCUAAUCCUGGUCGGACAUCAGGAGGUUAGUGCAAUGGCAUAAGCUAGCUUGACUGCGAGAGUGACGGCUCGAGCAGGUGCGAAAGCAGGUCAUAGUGAUCCGGUGGUUCUGAAUGGAAGGGCCAUCGCUCAACGGAUAAAAGGUACUCCGGGGAUAACAGGCUGAUACCGCCCAAGAGUUCAUAUCGACGGCGGUGUUUGGCACCUCGAUGUCGGCUCAUCACAUCCUGGGGCUGAAGUAGGUCCCAAGGGUAUGGCUGUUCGCCAUUUAAAGUGGUACGCGAGCUGGGUUUAGAACGUCGUGAGACAGUUCGGUCCCUAUCUGCCGUGGGCGCUGGAGAAUUGAGGGGGGCUGCUCCUAGUACGAGAGGACCGGAGUGGACGCAUCACUGGUGUUCGGGUUGUCAUGCCAAUGGCAUUGCCCGGUAGCUAAAUGCGGAAGAGAUAAGUGCUGAAAGCAUCUAAGCACGAAACUUGCCCCGAGAUGAGUUCUCCCUGACUCCUUGAGAGUCCUGAAGGAACGUUGAAGACGACGACGUUGAUAGGUCGGGUGUGUAAGCGUAGCGAUACGUUGAGCUAACCGAUACUAAUGAACCGUGAGGCUUAACCU
rnacentral:rRNA from 1 species